rnacentral:piRNA from 1 species
UAGUAAACAAGGGGAAAAGUA